CGGCUCACUUCGGCAGCUCAUAUACUAAAAUUGGAACGAUACAAAGAAGAUUAACAUGGCCCUUGGGCAAGGAUGACAUGCAAACCAGGUGGGGGGUACGGUUUAGUC